GGAAAAGUGACCAGAAGUUAUGAUAGUUUUCUUUCAUCUAGGGGUAAAGUACUGCUUCGGUGCGGGCUGUAAGAGCUAUACCAAAUCGAGGCAAACUCUAAAUAUUAGAUAUGAUCUCCAAAUAACAGGGGUUAGGUCAGCCAGUGAGACGAUAGGGAUAAACUUCAUUGCCGAGAGGGAAACAACCCGGAUCACCGGCUGUAGAAACAGAAGGUUCGCCUAGAAGCAGCCACCCUUGAAAGAGUGCUUAAUAGCUCACUGAUCGAGCGCUCAUGCGCCGAAAAUGAACGGGGCUAAACGGUCUGCCGAAACUCUAGGAUGUAAAAAAACAUCUAUAC
rnacentral:ncRNA from 1 species